UACGUAGGCAGCGAGCGUUGUUCGGAGUUACUGGGCGUAAAGAGUGUGUAGGCGGUGCUCUAAGUUCGGUGUGAAAUCUCCCGGCUCAACUGGGAGGGUGCGCCGGAAACUGGAGUGCUGGAGCGCGGGAGAGGAAAGCGGAAUUCCUGGUGUAGCGGUGAAAUGCGUAGAUAUCAGGAGGAACACCGGCGGUGUAGACGGCUUUCUGGACCGUAGCUGACGCUGAGACACGAAAGCGUGGGUAGCAAACAGG
rnacentral:rRNA from 1 species